AAAUAUGACCGUUAUUGUCGUCUUUCUGUGAGUGAGGCGGAUAACUGUGAGCUGCUGCUCGUUAUAACUGACUGCUCGGUCGGUCCCGAAUUAUUUCAUAUUUGCCUGUACAUUUUUUUAUUUAUUUUGAGCGAAUUUGAGUCGUGACAUGUCAAUGGAGAACAAAAACUGUGAACACAAGAAGGGUCAGGUGUUCUGCGAGGUCCUGAAAACAUACUGGCAAAAUGAGAGACACCCAAUGUGUUGCUGAGUCAUCGAGGAUCCAGCUUGUUCUUGAAACAUUGAAGUUUGCCCUCUGCAAGUGAACUUUUCCUGGACUGUGCCCAGCUGGUGGAAUGACCUCCCAAUCUCAAUCCGAACUGCUGAGUCUUUACUCAUUUUCAAGAAACAUUUUAAGACUCAUCUUUUUCACCGGAACUUAACCAACUAAUGCUAGCACUUUUCCUUCUUUUCUUGUCUUUCAUAUUUAAAAAAAUAUAUAUAAAAAACCUGGCUAUGCGUUCUGUACUAGACUAACUGAGACUUGUCAUGGCACUUGUUUACUGUUGUUGUUUGCUUGUACACCUGACUGCUUCUGUUGUUCUUAUUUGUAAGUCGCUUUGGAUAAAAGCGUCUGUUAAAUGAUUAAAUGUAAAUGUUUAUACAGGACGGUACAGAAAGUGCACAAGUGGGAGAGAGUGGAGGGGAUGGCAUCAGAAAGGACCUAGCGCUGGGACACUUUCAAGGAUCACCCGAAGCACACUGUAUACACUAAGGCUGCUGGUUCUAACAUUUUAGAGUGCCCUGCGGUAGAAAUCUCAUUCUGCAUGCCCCACGGUAAAGAAGACACAGUCCGGGGGGGUUCCCAUUAGAAAUCAACUGGUGGAAGGUUCCCUGCUCGUACUGUGCAACACAUUUUCACUGCACAAAUGUACACAACUCUUGUAAUGAGACACAAUACUAAAACAUGUUUUUGACAUAAACUAGUUUUCCACCCAAAUAAAAGAUCCACUGGUUUCAGUCAUAAAGGUACAAGGGUUUGUCUUGUAAGUGCUGCAAAAAAUAUGCAUUUAUGUGCCAAUUCUUUUUUACAAAAACCUUUAAAUAUUAUUGUAUUUGGAUUGUUCUACUCCAUGUUGUUAGCAUUACCUCCAUGCA